AGUGAACGCUGGCGGUAGGCCUAACACAUGCAAGUCGAACGGCAGCACAGUAAGAGCUUGCUCUUACGGGUGGCGAGUGGCGGACGGGUGAGGAAUACAUCGGAAUCUACUUUUUCGUGGGGGAUAACGUAGGGAAACUUACGCUAAUACCGCAUACGACCUACGGGUGAAAGCAGGGGAUCUUCGGACCUUGCGCGAUUGAAUGAGCCGAUGUCGGAUUAGCUAGUUGGCGGGGCAAAGGCCCACCAAGGCGACGAUCCGUAGUAGGUCUGAGAGGAUGAUUAGCCCCACUGGAACGGGGACACGGUCCAGACGCCUACGGGAAGCAGCAGUGGGGAAUAGUGGGCCAGGGGCGCAAGCCUGAGCCCGCCAUACCGCGGGGGUGAAGAAGGCCUUCGGGUUGGAAAGCCCUUUUGUUGGGAAAGAAAAGCAGCAGGUUAAUACCCCGCUGUUCUGACGGUACCCCAAGAAUAAACCCCCGCUUACUUCGGUC
rnacentral:rRNA from 1 species